rnacentral:misc_RNA from 1 species
CGCAUCGCAUGUCACACUCUACGAGAGCCAGCAAAGAGAAUAAAAUGGCACGUCCUGAAGGACGCAUGAGGAAAGGAUACAGGAGAGAUGAACCUGCUCAUAUGGCUGGCCAGCAACGAGGAGACGAGACGAUGCUGCGACGUCGAGUCUUGUGUAUUGGAGGGCCACGUGCUUUCUCUGGUUCUGUUCUUUCUCGUUAGGUUUGUGUUCAUCAGGGGUCUGGUGAAAUGCGCUUCUCUUCAACGAGUGAUGCGCCAUUUUCCUUCACGCCAAGGUCACAAAGCAAGGCAGCUGAUACACGGACUUGUGCUUGCCUCCUCCGACGCACGUGCACGCGCUGCAGGCGAAGCUGACAUAUAAGACGCUAAUUCCGCGCACCAGCGUAUCAGUCCUCACCUCUCUCUGCAUUUUCCCUCUACCUCAAGGCAACUCUUUUUUUUUGUUGCUGGCGCUCUCAUACCUCCCGCCUGUCACCCCAACCUCUGUUGCCUUUCCUUUCCGAUUCUCUUGUGUGCUGAACCAAGCCUUGGUUUCCAAACGUGUGGCGCUGACGCAGUCGAGCUGAUAAAGGGAAGCUGAAAAUCUAGGGAGAACGCAGGAGCUGAUGCUGGCGCAUGUACAACAUCAGCCCCGUCCCCACCACCACCACUUCUGGUUAUCCGCUUAGUCUCCGUUUUAAUGUGUUGAAGAUCCGAUUUGUGUGCUUGCUUUUGUGUCGGUGGGUCUGUUCGGAAUACACUGAAGGCGCCUACACCACAUCUCUCUUUUUUGAUGUGCCCACAACACUCGCAUCCCAUAGCUUCAAAUCUUCUAUUCCAUCGAUGCGUCCUUCUUUUUGUCGUAUCACGCCCCCCCCCUCCCGCAUCCUCCUCUUGCGCGCGCGCUCUCUCUUGUCCCUCCUUGUCCUCACUCCACAUUCUUAUGGAUAUCGCCGAUUCGCUCUCUCACUCGCUCGCUCGUCCUCCUUUUGUGUGUCUUCCCUGAUUGAGCCACUCGCUCUCCCUCUGUAUUGAAAG